GAAUUCGAUUCUCCUGGAAACGGGUGGUAAUGCCGGAUGCUCCGGUUGGAUGCAUGUCCUUCCGGGAAAGAUUUCAUCGGUAUGGGAUGGGGUCGCGUCCUAUCAGGUAGUCGGCGGGGUAACGGCCCACCGAGCCUACGACGGGUAGCCGGCCUGAGAGGGCGACCGGCCACAUUGGGACUGAGAUACGGCCCAGACUCCUACGGGAGGCAGCAGUGGGGAAUAUUGCACAAUGGGCGCAAGCCUGAUGCAGCGACGCCGCGUGCGGGAUGACGGCCUUCGGGUUGUAAACCGCUUUUGAUCGGGAGCAAGCCUUCGGGUGAGUGUACCUUUCGAAUAAGCACCGGCUAACUACGUGCCAGCAGCCGCGGUAAUACGUAGGGUGCAAGCGUUAUCCGGAAUUAUUGGGCGUAAAGGGCUCGUAGGCGGUUCGUCGCGUCCGGUGUGAAAGUCCAUCGCUUAACGGUGGAUCCGCGCCGGGUACGGGCGGGCUUGAGUGCGGUAGGGGAGACUGGAAUUCCCGGUGUAACGGUGGAAUGUGUAGAUAUCGGGAAGAACACCAAUCACUAGUG
rnacentral:rRNA from 1 species